UGUCUCAUCUACCUGCUGUCUCCCAAGUGUUCUUCCAGCUCCCUGCCCCUCAUCAACCCACUCUCCUCAGACCUCAGCUGGGGCUUGAACCUGAUAAUUGGUGUAGUCAUCAGGAUGAGCUGUACCCUUCAUCACGAAUUUGAUGGACUGCUUGACAAUGGAACUGGAAGAGUACCACUUUGUGGUGGACUUAGCUAAUGCAGUCUUCUCCAUUGACAUUGCUCCAGAGAGCCAGGAGAAGUUUGUCUUCACGUGGGAAGGAUGACAAUGGACUUUCACCAUGCUGCCACAGGGCUGUGUGCAUAGCCCCACCAUUUGUCCUGGUCUUGUUGCCAUGGAUUUAGCUGCCUGGAAAUGCCCAAAAGGGGUCUGCCUGUUUCAUUACAUUGAUGAUAUGUUAACCUCUGAUUCUCUCACAGAUUUAGAAGUGGUGGUGCCCCUCUUGUGACAGCAUUUGGCAGUGUGCAGUUGGGCCAUCAAUAAAUCCAAGGUCCAAGGGCCGGAAUUGUCUGCCAAAUUCUUGGGAGUUAUUUGCUCAGCCACAGGUUGGCAUGCUCCAACAACAUUGUGGACUGGGCUCACACCUAUGCUGAGGUGGCCAAUGUCUCCAACUGUUAGAUCUGCACCACCCUUCCAGCAGCAGCUGUGGAUGGCUUGCCUUGGCAUGUGCAUCCAGCUUUUGUGAAGAACUGGACAUGGCUAGAAACUUGGGGUCCCACAGACAAUGGGCGGGAUGCAACAUGGUGAGCUUUGGAUGGGGGUGUCACAAAACCCAUGGCAAGCCUGCCCCCUGGCUGACUCAUAGCAUCCAUGAUGAAUGGGGCUGGCUAAUGGGAGAAAACAUGGUGGCCCCAUUGCAAGUACCACGAUGUAUAGAGCAACACUGGGGUAAGGUCACUGUGGGAUGGUUGCCUGCUGAGACCUGUGCAAACGUAACACAUGCCACCAUGCCAAGGAUGUGGUGGAACAAGCAGCCCUACCAAGGCUGGGCCCCCAUGGACUUUGUGCCUGCUGGGAGUUUAUAGGUCUGUGGGGACAUAGGAUGGCCAUAUCUGCCAGCCAACUAGACUGGACAUUGUACCUGGGAGUGGCCUUCUGUGCCUGCCACUGUGCUUCCCACAUUGCUUAGUCACACACAUAACUGGGAGGUGCUGUGUUCCCAGUUUUUGUGAGUGCAUUGAGCCCCUAGUGGUUCUACCCCUUAGCAAUAACUGUCCCUGGAACAGGUGUCAUCACUGUAGAAAUGCAGGUUACAGCCCUUGCAGAACACAGAGAUUGGGCCCAUGAAUUACACCUGAGCUGCCCUCCUUUUGUUAAUUGAUGAGUUUGAUCAGAUCAGGAAGGUGGUGAUGCAAAACCGGAUGGCCUUAGACAUAGUCACAGCUGCUCAAGGUGGCACCUGUGCCCUUGUAGGGACAGAGUGUUGUACAUUCAUCCCUGACAACCACCAGAACAUAGUGGCAGCUUUGCAGGGGGUGUCAUGUCAUAGGAGAUUAAGGCAAUUGAAUACCUUACUGAUGACCGCCUGCAGAGAUGGUGGGUGUCUCUGGGCUCUGGCCUACACUGGGCUCUUAUAAUCAUAGGUAGCAUAGCAGGAAUAUUAGUAGUAGGUUGUUGCUCUCUUUAUUGUUGCUGUGGCCUCUGGGUCCAGGGUGCUCCCCUAUGUGCACGAGUUCCCAUUAAGAGGACCCCCUUGGCCUAGGGGGCGGAGUGUAAGGAACAUGGCUGUGUUGCUGCCAGGCAGGCAUAGGCCGAGGUAAAAAUCCUGCAUGACACAGUGGGAUUAGAGCACACGCGCGCAAUCCUGUGCCUGAUAUAAUCACAGCUAGGUAGACAUAACACAGAGAAGCUCAUCAUUUGGCUCUCAGCCACUAUCAUUUGUGAGGUGUACAAAUGUAACACUGACACUGUGAAAGAGCUGCUGAAUAAAGCCAUGUCUCAUCUA
rnacentral:lncRNA from 1 species